CGCGUGGCCAGGGGGUCAUCGAUGCUAUUCUUAGGCUAAAUUAGAUGCCUUGAAUUUAGUUCUGACAAUAGUAUGAUGCAGGUUGAUCGUUAGAACCUAAAUUCUAUACAAUAUGUGAUUACGUCAUUAUAUGAAUCGACGAUCCAACCGUUGGAUUGUCUUCAAACUUUAAUAUGUUAUAGUACAUAAUAUUUGAGGAUCAUAGGAAAUUACAGAUCGGGAAUCCGACGCACAGAUCUUCCCGAAUUGAAUUUGUAAGUUAGUAAAAUAAAACGUUGACCGCCACUUGAAUUUGCAAUUGGCGGAGAUCCAACCGUUGGAUUGUAAUGAAAAUUUAGAAUGUUAUUCUAGAAGCAUCAUGUGGAUCUUAGGAAGUAACGGAUUGGAAAUCUGUGAUGCAGAUCUUCCGGAUCAAAUCGUAGGGGUGUGUUUUAUGUAAAUUAUGUAUUUUAUCGAUAAAAACUCUGAGACGUGAUUAGAUAAUUGUUCUAGGCGACGAUGGUUUGUGAUGUUGCAAUAUUUGUGCUAGGGAUUCGUAGCGCGGACCUCAGGUAAGUGGGUCUUUUCCUUUCUAUUGUGUGUGUGUGUAUAUAUAUAUAUGAUUGAUAAUUCCACAAACGGUUAUAAAUUGAUUAUUGCAUAUAAUUACUGUGAAUGCUUUGAAGUUCUAAUGCGAACUACGAAUGGCUUGAUCCCUGUUUAGGGUACGUAAGCAGUUUAACGAGACGUUAAAUGCAGCCAUACCAUAAAUGAGACUAAAUAAUUGAGACAAUAGCCUUGGUUGGGAAAUUGUGCCAUGUGAGGGAUAUUGGUGGGAAAUGUGAGAUUUAAUCUUAUGAUCUAGUGAUUGGAUGUUGGUCAUAAAUCAUUAUGUGAAGGAUCAAGAAAUUGAAGUAAAGAAUCGUAAGUAUUGAUAGUUAGUUAAACUAGUGUUUAGUUGAGCUUGUCAUCGAUAAUUAUUCCCGAAAAUUAAUAGUUCGGGAGUAGGGCGUUAUAGAUUGUGUAUUUUACGCCACAUUAUUGAUAUAUAUAUAG
rnacentral:lncRNA from 1 species